CCUACGGGUGGCAGCAGUGAGGAAUAUUGGUCAAUGGGCGCAAGCCUGAACCAGCCAAGUCGCGUGAGGGAAGACGGUCCUAUGGAUUGUAAACCUCUUUUGUCGGGGAGCAAAAGACGCCACGCGUGGCGUUCCGAGAGUACCCGGAGAAAAAGCAUCGGCUAACUCCGUGCCAGCAGCCGCGGUAAUACGGAGGAUGCGAGCGGUAUCCGGAUUUAUUGGGUUUAAAGGGUGCGCAGGCGGAAGAUCAAGUCAGCGGUAAAAUUGAGAGGCUCAACCUCUUCGAGCCGUUGAAACUGUAUUUCUUGAGUGCGGGAGAGGCAAGCGGAAUGCGGGGUGUAGCGGUGAAAUGCGUAGAUAUACGGAGGAACACCAGUGGCGAAGGCGGAUUGCUGGACAGUAACUGACGCUGAGGCGCGAAAGCGUGGGGAGCAAACAGGAUUAGAUACCCGAGUAGUC
rnacentral:rRNA from 1 species